UCACUGCCUGUUGUGUUCUAUCCUCUCCGCCACCCCUGCCCAAGCUGCCAGCCACAUUUGAAGGAACUGACAUUUCCAAGCCUGCCUGCUUGGGAGACAGGAGGAUUUUUCUCAUGGUGUCCUCUUGACACACAGAGAUUGCUGAGGCACACACUCCAAGCACCAGGACUGGAAGGAGAGCAAAUAACCUUUUCAAAAGGAGAUGGAGCAGCUGAGCAAUGCAGAGAGGGCAAGCUGAGGAGAAAAAGAGAGAGAGAGAAGACACAGAAGAGAGAUUAUGGAGGAGGAAAAAUAGUACUACACCUUGAGAAUAGGGAUAUCCCUCUGUUAAGCACCUGCUAUAUGUGCUGAGAAUAACUUGGUCAGGCCCUGCUGUGCUGCUAUCAUUUCCCCCAGUUUACAUGGGAGAGAUCAAAGCUACACUUGCCUCAGGCAGAACCUUUUAUCCAAAAGGCUGGCUGGUAAAAUGCAGACUAAGGAUGAAAUCACUGUCUACAAACUGCCAAAAAGAGGUGGUGGGAUGCCUUCUGCUACAGCUAGCCUCAGGAGGGCUACAGGUGCUGAGUGGAGUGCUAAGAGCAGGAAAGGAAGCAAAGAAGUGAGGUGUGAAGAGAUUUAUUCAUUGCUGUGCUCAUUUCUGAAGAUGGACUGAACUGCGAAUAGGCUGUACAGAACCAGGAAUUCAUUGAGAAUGUUGAAUCCAGAUCCCGAGUCAGCACCUGCACAUUUAAGAGUAAUGUGGUAGCUAAAACUCACCAGGGAUUUUUACACACAGCAGGCUUU